UCCCGCACAGUGACUUAGCAUAGGCUCGAAGUCAGUACACCUCAGAUGUGUACAGAUCCUACAGAUCUUUCCCUGCCUUGAGGACUGAAGAUCCGGUAGAACAGCUGCUCAGAACACCAUGUGAAUUUUCCACUGAACAAACCACAAGAAGACUGCUUCAGAGUUUCAUCUAAGUCCUCAGGCUAAAGUGCCAUGCUGCUUCUAUAGGUAGGUCUACUCUGAAGACUUGGGAGUUGGAGUGAAACUACUUGCACGCUGGAGAACUUCAAUGGGACAGAAAAUCUCCGCAUGAGAUUUCUUAAAAAUCUGCACCUGCAUUCUAUCCUCUGAAAAUGUGGCCCCUGCUGAAUGCCCCUAGGGCUCUUCGGUCAGAGCACAGAUCAUCGAUCAACCCUCCUGCCAAACAUCUCGGGAUCCUGGAGGGCCGAUGUCAUAGCCCCAAGCUUCCCAUAAACUAAUGGAGGUUGGAGAUUGUGGGAUGGGAUUUCCUGGAGAUUUUAAUUAUGGAUCUGUAAAUUAGGUUUUGACCUGAGGACCAUGAUUGUUUCCAAGAAACAACCCACAGAAACUCAUUGCUUGAUGAUCGGUUGUUUGGAAUUAUGAGGAUUUUGUUAAGCACAUGGAUUGAUUGUCUAUUGCAAUCCUAAACUUA